AGGAUGAACGCUGGCGGCGUGCCUAACACAUGCAAGUCGAACGUCCUGUCUCGCAAGAGGCAGGGAGUGGCGGACGGGUGAGUACCACGUGGGUUAUCUACCGUGAGGUGAGGAAUACCGGCGAGAAAUCGCCGACAAGACCGCAUAGCCUCGGUGCAAGCCGAGGAAAGCUCUCUCGAGAGAGGGAGCGCCACACGAGGAGCCUGCGCCCGAUUAGCUAGCUGGUGGAGUAAUGGUUCACCAGGGCGACGAUCGGUAGCUGGUCUGAGAGGACGAUCAGCCACACUGGGAUUGAGAACGGCCCAGACUCCUACGGGGGGCAGCAGUGAGGAAUUUUCGUCAAUGGGGGCAACCCUGAACGAGCAACGCCGCGUGCAGGAAGAAGGUUUUCGGAUCGUAAACUGCUUUUCUCGGGGAAGAGAACGGACGGUACCCGAGGAAUCGAGCCCCGGCUAACUACGUGCCAGCAGCCGCGGUAA
rnacentral:rRNA from 1 species